rnacentral:lncRNA from 10 species
GCUCUGGUUGUCCUCAGGGGGCCGCUCGCCCAGCUCCGAGUCGGGCCGCACCACGCGCUCUUUGCGCACCGUGGGCUUGGCCCGCAGAACCCGCGGCGCCAGCACCAGCGCCAGCAGCAGCCCCAGGGCUAACCCCAGGCGGCCACCGCGCGCCAUCGUCCCGAGGAGAGGGCGGCCGGGAGGGAGACGCUGAGCGAGCGACAACAGCGGCAGCUCGGGAAUGGGGGCUCGGAGCGCGGCGGCCAAGUUUUAUGUUAUGUAUAUUUUACAAGUAAAAAAAUUUUUUCACCUCAGCCUGAACUGAAC